GACGAACGCUGGCGGCGUGCUUAACACAUGCAAGUCGAACGAAGUGGCGAACGGGUGAGUAACGCGUAAUCAACCUGCCCUUCAGAGGGGGACAACAGUUGGAAACGACUGCUAAUACCGCAUACUGAAGGAGGGGAUUGCGUCUGAUUAGCUAGUUGGAGGGGUAACGGCCCACCAAGGCGAUGAUCAGUAGCCGGGCUUGGAGGAUGAACGGCCACAAUGGGACUGAGGCAAGGCCCAGACUCCUACGGGAGGGAGCAGUGGGGAAUCUUCCGAAAUGGAGGGAAGUCUUACGGAGCAACGCCGGGUGAGUGGUGACGGCCUUCGGGUUGUAAAGCUAUGUUAAUCGGGACGCGGUACCGGAAUAGAAAGCCACGGCUAACUACGUGCCAGCCGCCGCGGUAAUUC
rnacentral:rRNA from 1 species